UAUCGAUAAACUGAAAUUUCUCAUGUAUUUAUCCAUUUUAUAGAUUAUAUAAUCAGAAAUUUUUAAUUUCUGUGUCAUAAAUUCCAAAAUGAAUUGAAGGAAUAUCAGUUAAAUAAAUGUAGGUCAAUUUAGUUCCGACAUGUUGGCAAUAUAGCUUUCUGCUCUCUGCCUGCAACCAACCGUGUCAAAACAACAACUGUAGGAUCUUAGAGAAUAUUUUAAAGUUUCCUUGAUAAUUAUUGUAAUGCUAAAGUAUUUUUGUUCAAAAUAACAAUUAUUCAACAUAAUUUUUUAUUUUCUAAUUGCGUAAAUGUGCUUUUAGUGCUACAUUUAUCUUACUACAAACGUAAGUGCUCUUGACUCCAGCAGACCUUUCUGCUCUGUCUGUCUACUGUCUUGUCUUGUCAAAACAACUACAGCCGGAUUUUAGUGUUAAUUUUUUAAAGUUUCCUUGAUAAUAAUGAAUUAUUGUAAUUCUAAAGUAUAUCUGUUAGAAAUAACAGUAUUUCAACAUUUUUUUAGUUUCUAAUUACGUGAAUGUGCUACAUUUAUCUGAAUCCACAAACGUAAGUGCUCUUGACAAUGAACUGAUGCAGUUAAACGUUGACUGAAUUUUCGUUCUAUCUACAUUUUAGGUGUGGCAGCAACGCAUCGAUUGGAGCUUGGCUACUGAUUCACUCCUGUCAUGGACCACAGCUUUCUAGUAUGGCAUUUGACAGGUGUGAACCAACAAAUUGGUGGAGGAGAGGAAGAGGAGAUACUUGAGACGAGUUGUGCAAUGUAUUGGUGAAGCCUAGCAGCUUGGCACCUUGGUCUGAUGGAGCACACCCUUCAUCGCAGUGCGGACAGCGUGAGUGAGUCGACAGGCUUCUUCUUCUUCUUCUUCUGCUUCGUUCUCCGUAUCUCUUCUGCUACAUCAUUCUUAUAGCUGGAAGCUGACGACGAUUUGACGUUGUUUCACAAAACUGUGAGUUAGUUCUAGAUUUACCCCAGUUUGCACAAACGUCUGUUAACUUAUAAUGCCGAUUAAAUGCAGAUUGAUGAUUUAAUUUGAUUACAAUAAAAAUCUACAGACUGCAAAACUUAAAUUUAAUUAAGUGUGUAGAUUUAAGAUUCAAGAUUUUGUGUAGAAAUUGAAAUGAACAUAACCUAUGUAUAAUACCAUAGAGAAACAAUAGCGUAAGUAGAUAUCCCAUUGUAUAGGGAAUUUAUGUCGCAACUUUUACUGUUAUCUCAAGCCGAUU